rnacentral:rRNA from 1 species
GCCUUCCUACGGGGCACAGCAGUGGGGAAUAUUGCACAAUGGGGGAAACCCUGAUGCAGCGACGCCGCGUGAGCGAAGAAGUAUUUCGGUAUGUAAAGCUCUAUCAGCAGGGAAGAAAAAAAUGACGGUACCUGAGUAAGAAGCACCGGCUAAAUACGUGCCAGCAGCCGCGGUAAUACGUAUGGUGCAAGCGUUAUCCGGAUUUACUGGGUGUAAAGGGAGCGUAGGCGGCGCGUUAAGUCUGAUGUGAACACCCGAGGCUCAACCACGGGCGUGCAUUGGACACUGGCGGGCUGG